GCCUAACACAUGCAAGUCGAGCGGAAACGAGUUAUCUGAACCUUCGGGGAACGAUAACGGCGUCGAGCGGCGGACGGGUGAGUAAUGCCUGGGAAAUUGCCCUGAUGUGGGGGAUAACCAUUGGAAACGAUGGCUAAUACCGCAUAAUAGCUUCGGCUCAAAGAGGGGGACCUUCGGGCCUCUCGCGUCAGGAUAUGCCCAGGUGGGAUUAGCUAGUUGGUGAGGUAAGGGCUCACCAAGGCGACGAUCCCUAGCUGGUCUGAGAGGAUGAUCAGCCACACUGGAACUGAGACACGGUCCAGACUCCUACGGGAGGCAGCAGUGGGGAAUAUUGCACAAUGGGCGCAAGCCUGAUGCAGCCAUGCCGCGUGUAUGAAGAAGGCCUUCGGGUUGUAAAGUACUUUCAGCAGUGAGGAAGGUUCAUACGUUAAUAGCGUAUGGAUUUGACGUUAGCUGCAGAAGAAGCACCGGCUAACUCCGUGCCAGCAGCCGCGGUAAUACGGAGGGUGCGAGCGUUAAUCGGAAUUACUGGGCGUAAAGCGCAUGCAGGUGGUUUGUUAAGUCAGAUGUGAAAGCCCGGGGCUCAACCUCGGAAUUGCAUUUGAAACUGGCAGACUAGAGUACUGUAGAGGGGGGUAGAAUUUCAGGUGUAGCGGUGAAAUGCGUAGAGAUCUGAAGGAAUACCGGUGGCGAAGGCGGCCCCCUGGACAGAUACUGACACUCAGAUGCGAAAGCGUGGGGAGCAAACAGGAUUAGAUACCCUGGUAGUCCACGCCGUAAACGAUGUCUACUUGGAGGUUGUGGCCUUGAGCCGUGGCUUUCGGAGCUAACGCGUUAAGUAGACCGCCUGGGGAGUACGGUCGCAAGAUUAAAACUCAAAUGAAUUGACGGGGGCCCGCACAAGCGGUGGAGCAUGUGGUUUAAUUCGAUGCAACGCGAAGAACCUUACCUACUCUUGACAUCCAGAGAACUUUCCAGAGAUGGAUUGGUGCCUUCGGGAACUCUGAGACAGGUGCUGCAUGGCUGUCGUCAGCUCGUGUUGUGAAAUGUUGGGUUAAGUCCCGCAACGAGCGCAACCCUUAUCCUUGUUUGCCAGCGAGUAAUGUCGGGAACUCCCGGG
rnacentral:rRNA from 1 species